UCCCCGGUGGCUCAGAUGGUGAAGCGUCUGCUUGCAAUGCGGGAGACCCAGGUUCGAUCCCUGGGUUGGGAA
rnacentral:tRNA from 1 species